UCGGAUUGCAGGCUGCAACCCGCCUGCAUGAAGUUGGAAUCGCUAGUAAUCGCGGAUCAGCAUGCCGCGGUGAAUACGUUCCCGGGCCUUGUACACACCGCCCGUCACACCAUGAGAGUCGGGAACACCCGAAGUCCGUAGCCUAACCGCAAGGAGGGCGCGGCCGAAGGUGGGUUCGAUAAUUGGGGUGAAGUCGUAACAAGGUAGC
rnacentral:rRNA from 1 species